UUUACUCUGAGUCACCAGGGGAGCCAUGUAUGUGUGUAUGAGUGCUGUCAAAUGACCUGGGUAAGUCUGUGAAAAUGGAGGACUGAAGAUUUGCACAACUGGAGAAUGUGGAUCCUCAGAAAGCAGACAUUUCUGUUGUAAUCCUAACUUCAUCUUCCUUACAACAGUGAGGAACUGCCCUGCCAUAUGACAUUGUCACGUGGUUACCUUUCUUCUGGAAGGACUUCUAAUAGCAGCUCCAAUCAUUCUUGGAAUGUGCCUCGGUGACCCCAGACCUGAGUGACAGUAAGUCUCAAGAGCCAAGGAAGAGCAAAGAGUUAAGCAUGUUUUCUCAUGAAAGGCAAACUCCUCCAAGGAAAAUGCUUGCUGGCAGUGACAUUCCUUUCUAUGCAGAGCAGGCAUGCUUGAUUUUUGAAAAAGGCUUAGAGCUUGAAAUUUUCUUUGAGCAGAAUGUUUGAAAUCAUUCAAGCUGGAGUGGCAAAUAAGGCAAAAACAUUCCCCACAUGUAGAAAAAUCAGCAGAGGCUUUCAAACAUAUGACUUAUGAAAUGACGCAGCUGGGAUUCUUUUUAAGCAGUCUGUCAGGCUAUUACUGAGAGCACUGAAGAUGUGGUUUUGCUUCCUGCUAUGUUUCUCUGAAGAGUAGUUGAAAAGAAUUGACUGGCUGCUUUCAAAAUGUGGAGAGAAACAUGAAAACUGGUACACACUAUUCAAUCAGGAAUUUCUCUACUUUUGUUAAAACUUCAGACUUUAUCAUUAAUUAAAUUGCAGUUAAAAUACUGCCA